CGAUUAUCUGGGAAGUUUCAGGUCUUCAGACUUUUAUUUCUAUGGUGAAACUUAUUCUAAUUUCCAGCCCAAGAUUCUGGAACACAUCUCCCAUUAUGAAGUGGGCCUCAGGGUGGGAGUGGAAGCAGAACCUCUUGUUCACACUCCACACCCUCAUUUUCCAGCAGUGAAGGUAGACUAUUAAGGCUCUCAUGUCAUCAAGGAUGGAGGCAAUGGGAUAAUGGAGAUUCUAGACAUUUGUUUCGUCACCAGCGAAAAUUAAAUGAAGACUCAGGAAUCACUACAGCUACAGGGAUGAGAAGGACAUUUCAGCAGCUACAGUGUGGUGCUUCUACUGAGAUACCAGGAAAAUUCCAACAUAGGAAACAACAGGUGUUAGUGCCAGAAAGGUCUCCAGACAACUCCAGCUCCAUCUACAAUGUGAGGGCAACUGCAUGAGCAACCUUAGGUAAGACAAGCAGAACUUCCCAUCAAGCUAAGAAAACCCACACAACGAUGAGAGAAAACCAAUGAUGGCAUUUUAUACACU
rnacentral:lncRNA from 1 species